rnacentral:lncRNA from 1 species
AUGGAUUAUUUUAGAAAUUUCAAGGAUCUGAAUAUUUUUCUCAUUUUUGUGUUAUGUAUUUUUGAUGUUGUGAAAGGACCAAUCGUACUUAAAUCUAAACCAUCGAGAAUCGUUGCUAUUGAUCGUCAUUCCAGAUUGAAAGUAAUAAACCACCCAUUUAGAGGACCUAGUCUGAAAGACGUAAAGGAAGGUAAAGCCUCAGAAAAGAGCCUUUUCAAAACCUUCUCAUGCAGUCGGUCGACAUACAGUCAGUGCAAUGAUCGAUGUGAACUCCGAGACCGCCAUUUACGUGGAAACUGCGAUGAAGGAGCGUGCAUCUGUGUCAAAAAUCGAGGGCGGAACUCCUGGAGACCUCCUGCAGGGCGGAACGGAUUAGAGUAUAAAACCAACUGCUCGGUAAAAACAAACAAAACCAAAUGUUUGAAGCACUGUUUAAGUCUUAAGAGAGGUCUCAAGGGAGAGUGUGAAGGAAAUACGUGUGAGUGUGUGGAAUGGGUCGAUGAAGAGGAUGAUGAAGACGAAGAGUCCUCUUCUGAGGAUGAUGAAGAGUCACCUACGCCGAGGGCUCUGAAAUCAUCGAGCGGCAGAGGGAAAGGCCUCAUGAGAGGUCAAAGCUCAUCCGGUCGGAAAAGUCCAAGCGCCAAACGCGCGAAGACUCCCGCGAGAAACAAAGGCUCCAAAACUCCUAAGAGAACUUCAAGCAAAGGCGGUAGACCUUCGUCGUCCAAGGGCCAAAGAACUCCGUCCCGGAGCGGAAAAUCUCCGGCUGCGGGUAGGGGAGCUAAGUAUGGGAAUAGACCAUACUCGAAGGGUGGGAAGACACCCUCGAGAAGUGGCGGAAAGACCCCCUCGAAAAGCAACACUCCGAAAAGGCCAUCAUCCGCUAAGAAGCCAUAUUCCAGGAAAGGUGGACGAAACGAGCAAGCUGAAUUUCCGGAAGAUGGACUGGGUUUCGGUGUUCCAGCCGGGAACAAAGGUGGCAGGGAUGAUUUCCAGGAAGACGACUUUCCGAGAGGGGGCUUCGAUGCUCCCGUCGGAAACAGGAACGGCAGGAAGGAAGAUGAUGAAGAUGACACUGACGGGCCGGAGACCCUCAAAAAUCAGAGAGUGCCACCGCAAGGACCGACGGAUCGCUUCGGGUACCCGCCUAAAGGGCGCGGGCAGGGCGAUGAAUUCGGCGACGAUGAUUUCGGCCCUAACGGGGGGUUACCGCCCAAGCAGCAGUUCGCCCCUACAGGGGGGGCACCGCCCAAUCAGCAGUUCGCCCCUACAGGUGGGGUACCGCCCAAGCAGCAGUUCGAUGAUGACCCAUCAUUCCAAGAUGACCUACCACCGGGUCGACAAUCCCAAUUUGACAACCCCCGAGCCCCACCUCCCGCGUUCGACGCUCCCAUCGAUCCUAAAAGACCCUCGACGCCCACGGGCCGCGCCCCUUAUGACCCCAAAAGACCCGGAACGGGGGCGAAAACCCCUCAAAGACCGCCUUCCGUGCAGGAUGAACGCCCCUUCAAUCCUCAAGGCCUUCCGCCGGGAAGGAACGAUCCACAAAACUCAGGGUUUCCCCCGCAGAGACCCGGCAUGUUCGAUGAGCCCGAGCCCUUUGGCCAGCCGCCUCUGGAUCAGUUUGGGAGACCAAUGGAUGAUUUUGAUUCGAAUGAAGAUUUUAACAAUGUGGAUCCGAAUGGAUUUGAUGAUUUCGGUCGAGGGGCUCCUGCAAGGAAUGAUAAUUUUGACGACUCCCGCUUCCCACCUCGAUCCGGUAACGGACGUUUCUAAUUCGGAAGGGAGGAAUACACGACGUUACAUAAUUUUAUAAUUUGAAUUGAAAAUCCAGCGUGCUCAAAUUAUUAAAUAAGAAGUCAACUGAUAACACUGUCUUUGAGUCCUUUAUGACAAGUCCUCUUUAUCCCUUUUAACUAGGUCCUCUAUGUCGCUGCACUACCUGAGCGCAAUUAAAGCACUAGGCGCAGGAAGGACAUUUCUUGGCUGUAGAGUCCUAGAAUCCCCUCUAACGUUUCAUCCGUUAUUGAAGCAAAUAUAUGUAAUUUUUCGUGAUUAUUAUUGAACAUUCUCUCUAACUUUACAAUGCUGAAAACGUAACAUUUCAGAAAAUUUACCAGAUAGAUUCCUCUCUUAAGUAAAAAUUAGGGCUGAAAAUUCUGAAAAACUGCAACCAAGAAACGCCCUUUCUGCAUCCAACGCCUCAAUAGCGGAACUGGGCUAUAUAUCUGGGCCAUAAUCAAUUGGGCUUGAUGUCAUUUUGAAACUUUUAAUAUGUUUUUCUUGAAAUAGCAAAAAGUAUUUUUGUCCAACUUGUCCUCUAAGCCCCUCAUUAAAUUUGAAAAGCCCGUAUCCGAGGUAACUAAGCUAUAUCUCAAAAUCGAAUGAGGAAACAUUAGAUCUUGGUUAGAGUGAGUCCACAUUUUGGUGCGAAGCUAUCUACGAGAUGCUGCCUUAACUUUAUUACAGCAAAUUAAGACCAUAGUAGUAUUAAAGUAUUAUUGAUUCAACUUUGAGAAGCUGUUUUUUUCAAGUGACUAUUAGAUGAAAACAAAUCAGUUCAUUUAAAACAGCUCGUCAAAGCAAGUAUUUUCAACUAUUCACAAACUUUUCGGGAAGAAUCGUCGUUC